AGAAAGUAAGCACAACCUCUAUGAUACUCAGCACUGUGAAUUCACCUCAAUUCAGCCAGCAUUGCUACUAUUAAAGAUUCUUGCACAUUUUUAAGCUUUUUGUUGCCUUGGGAUAAAGCCCGGAUAUAGUGUAAUUAAUCCUCAAUCAAAACAGCAUCUAAAGUUACUCCAUUAGCAUGGUAGUAAUGGAAAAUGGAAAAUUGGAACAUUUUACCCAAAGUACCAAAUUCCUUUGCUUAGAAUAUCUGGAUUACUUCACUAAACAAAUUGUGAAAAUGCACCAUGAAGGACAGUGCUGGCUCCUAUUCACUGCUCAUGAUACUUCCUCUUUGCUGAUCCUGUAAUAGGCUACACAGAGCUGAAAAAGACCAAGAAGUCACUGAAUCCAUUCUCCUUACAAGAAAUCGUCAUUCAUUCACCAACCCUUGUCUGUCCACCUCCUGCCACCCUGGAUCAAACUGCAAGCAUAACAGCAGAUUUGUUACAGGAAGACAAAGGAAAUACUGUGGAGCAAACUGCCCUAGCUAAAGGCUGCUGUUUUUCUUAGCAUUUGUUCCACAUGGUUGCAGGCAAGGUCUGCUUGUACUGUAUUUGCACUGCACUUGCCUAAUUCUAACAGCAAAGCACUCAGUGCAUGAUAUUACAAGUUUUUGUUUAUCAGCAGGACUGUCACAUUGAUGGUGAUUGGGGCUGAGAGGGAGUGACUGGCCCAAGGUCAUCCAGCUGGCUUCUAUACCUAGGACCUGGAUCUCCCCAUUCCUAAUCCAGCACCUUAACUACACCAUGUUGAAUCUCUGAACUGCCCCAGCUAAAGAUACCCUUCAAGAUCUCAAGCCCUUGCAAUUUUAUCCUUCCAAAGUGAAGAUGUAGACUAAAAAUUAACAGCCAAGAAACUGAAUAACGAAUUACUGAUAUCUAAUUUCAAGGAUGGAUGAUGAUGAAAUCCCCAGACUUCAUGGCCUAAUUUUUUUUCAAGCACCAGGAAUCAUUUCAGACUGGUUAAAAAAAUAAUAAAAAUAUUGAAAACCAUUUGCAAGUAAUAUUUCUGCCCCUGUUGCAUUAUGAAUUACCAAGUUAGACCUGGUUUAAGGCAAACACACACAGAAUUUUCUUGGGUUAAAAGAGGUGCCUAUUUUAUAUACCCCUGAUCACAAUAAUUUUAUAGAGAAGUCCCUCUGAAUUCAAUGGGACUUACUUUAGCAAGUAUAUUUAGAAUUGCAUCCAUAGCUCUUUUUUAAGUCUUUGAAAGCAUUUCAAUUUUUCUUUUAAUCUACCUUGUAUGAUUGGCCAAUGUUAUUAUUUUACUGUGGGAACAGUGGUUGAAAGAACAUUUGGUUGUCUAAUGCCCUCUGUAAGAGUUCACAGCAAAGGCAACUAUGAUACUCAGGGAUGUUUGGUUCAUAGCUCAUGCUCUUAGCUGCUAUAUUCCAGCAAAUCACUGAAAAUAUGGAGGGGAAGAUGACUGUAAAGAAGGGCCAUCAGAAAAAAAGGAAGUGAUAAGCAAGCAGAGUGGUACUAGAAUUAUGUGAAGAAAACCAGGACAUUCAUUUACACAGCCUUUUCCAACCAGAGGUUUUCCGAAUGUAUGGAACAACACUUCCCAGCAUUGCUAAUGGCACCAGAUCUGGAGGGUCUCAAACUGGAAAAGGAACAAUACCUCACAACAGAUGAACUACUUAUUCAUUCAUGUCUACCUACAUUCCAGAAUGCUUAUCUUCAAGAGUAAAACUUUUUAAAUAGUCCUCAUGAAUACUGUUGUGCUGAAGUUUCUCAGAAAAAAGGAGGCAGAUGAAGAUUUCAGUGAUUAGGAACCACAACUUCCAUGAUUUGCAGAACAUUUCAAGAAAGUUUGCUGUACUAGAGGAACAGUGUUAAUAUUCCUGUUCUGUUUAAUCAAGACACCUUCAAACAUUAUGGAAUUAGCAGCUGUGUACCGUUGACUGUGGGAGGACUGCACGCACUUUUUACAGUGAUUGUGCUCCACUGAUAUGCAUGGCAGCAACUGGGCCAGCAGCAGCUCCUCAACCAUACACAUAAGGCAGUGUUGUCCAAAC